rnacentral:misc_RNA from 1 species
GAAAUGCGAUAAGUAAUGUGAAUUGCAGAAUUCAGUGAAUCAUCGAAUCUUUGAACGCACCUUGCGCUCCUUGGUAUUCCUUGGAGCAUGCCUGUUUGAGUAUCAUGAAAUCUUCAAAGUAAAUCUUUUGUUAACUCAAUUGGUUUCUACUUUGGUAUUGGAGGUCUUUGCAGCUUCACACCUGCUCCUCUUUGUUCAUUAGCUGGAUCUCAGUGUUAUGCUUGGUUCCACUCGGCGUGAUAAGUUAUCUAUCGCUGAGGACACUGUAAAAGGUGGCCAAGGUAAAUGCAGAUGAACCGCUUCUAAUAGUCCAUUGACUUGGACAAUACUUUUAUGAUCUGAUCUCAAAUCAAGUAGGACUACCCGCUGAGCUUAAGA